UCGAGCGAACAGACGAGGAGCUUGCUCCUCUGACGUUAGCGGCGGACGGGUGAGUAACACGUGGAUAACCUACCUAUAAGACUGGGAUAACUUCGGGAAACCGGAGCUAAUACCGGAUAAUAUAUUGAACCGCAUGGUUCAAUAGUGAAAGACGGUUUUGCUGUCACUUAUAGAUGGAUCCGCGCCGCAUUAGCUAGUUGGUAAGGUAACGGCUUACCAAGGCAACGAUGCGUAGCCGACCUGAGAGGGUGAUCGGCCACACUGGAACUGAGACACGGUCCAGACUCCUACGGGAGGCAGCAGUAGGGAAUCUUCCGCAAUGGGCGAAAGCCUGACGGAGCAACGCCGCGUGAGUGAUGAAGGUCUUCGGAUCGUAAAACUCUGUUAUUAGGGAAGAACAAAUGUGUAAGUAACUAUGCACGUCUUGACGGUACCUAAUCAGAAAGCCACGGCUAACUACGUGCCAGCAGCCGCGGUAAUACGUAGGUGGCAAGCGUUAUCCGGAAUUAUUGGGCGUAAAGCGCGCGUAGGCGGUUUUUUAAGUCUGAUGUGAAAGCCCACGGCUCAACCGUGGAGGGUCAUUGGAAACUGGAAAACUUGAGUGCAGAAGAGGAAAGUGGAAUUCCAUGUGUAGCGGUGAAAUGCGCAGAGAUAUGGAGGAACACCAGUGGCGAAGGCGACUUUCUGGUCUGUAACUGACGCUGAUGUGCGAAAGCGUGGGGAUCAAACAGGAUU
rnacentral:rRNA from 1 species